GCCAUUUUACAAGACAUUGGAUCGAGCGUUACGACCAGGAGGUGUUAUUUGCACACAGGCAGAGAGCCUUUGGCUGCACAUGCCCAUUAUCAAAGAUAUUGUUGGAGCUUGCCGUCACACCUUUAAGGGUUCUAUCAACUAUGCAUGGACUAGUGUUCCAACCUAUCCAAGGUGAGUCCAUCACUGUUUUUUCGAAAUUUCUUUGCAGCUUGUCCUGUUGCGGUCUGUAAGUGAACUUUGGUACAUACAUGCAACAUCCUCAUGGUAGGAAAAUGCUUUUUUAGCUGCUUGUAAUCUUAUCAUUUUACCAAAUUCAAGUUGUGGAGCUUCUUCUGUGAUGUUUGCGAAAGUCUGAGUUAACGUUUUGGAUUUUUCAUAUGGGUUCUCUGUGGUAGCCUUAAGAGACUGGUGAAAGACUUUUGCUCUAUUUGGUACUAACUGAGUUCCAUUGGGUAUGUAGUGGGGUGAUUGGUUUUAUGCUUUGCUCUACUGCCGGUCCAGCUGUUAAUUUUCGAAAGCCAUGCAACCCAAUAGAUCAAGCUGUGGAUCCCAAUCAUUAUUCCAAGCGUCCACUCAAGUUCUAUAACUCAGCUGUCAGUGUUUCCUGUCUUUUUCUUGCUGCUUGAUGAGCACAUUGUAUGCUGCAUGAAUUCAGUUGAAGUUAUGAAAGCGUUUCGUAGUUAGUUCAGAGAACUCAGGAUGCAUUUCAUGUAAGCCAUCUUGUAGUGAAAAUUUCCCUAGUUGAUCUGAAUCCGAUAGAUCUUAUUCAUUUUACCUGAGAACCCUGAAACACCAGAAGUUUCGGAAUGUCCUGACAGUGUCGGUGUUUGGUGAUGACAGAUGCAUGAGGCAGCGUUCUCGUUGCCUCAAUUUGCCAGGGAAGAAUUGGAACAUUUGCUCACACCACCCCCAACCUCUUAAUUGAGAGCUUUAUAUAUUGUGCCUCAUCCCAUCGCUUCUUUAUAGGGUAGAACACAUGGCACAAUCUUGUAUGAGCAGUUCCGGCGGUAUUUUCAAAUACGUUUGCUAUACAUGCUAUAUAUUU
rnacentral:lncRNA from 1 species